rnacentral:rRNA from 1 species
AUUGAACGCUGGCGGAAUGCUUUACACAUGCAAGUUGAACGGCAGCACGGGUGCUUGCACCUGGUGGCGAGUGGCGAACGGGUGAGUAACAUAUCGGAACGUACCCAGUAAUGGGGGAUAACUAACCGAAAGGUUAGCUAAUACCGCAUACGCCCUGAGGGGGAAAGCGGGGGAUCGAAAGACCACGCGUUAUUGGAGCGGCCGAGAUCUGAUUAGCUAGUUGGUGAGGUAAAGGCUCACCACGGCGACGAUCAGUAGCAGGUCUGAGAGGAUGAUCUUCCACACUGGAAAUAAGACACGGUACAGGCUCCUACGGGAGGCAGCAGUGGGGAAUUUUGGACAAUGGGGGAAACCCUGAUCCAGCCAUUCCGCGUGAGUGAAGAAGGCCUUCGGGUUGUAAAGCUCUUUCGGCAGGGAAGAAACGGUUCUGGAUAAUACCCGGAGCUAAUGACGGUGCCUGAAGAAGAAGCACCGGCUAACUACGUGCCAGCCGCCGCCGUAA